CACAAAGUAUAAAGCAUAAAUAUGGAAUCUGGAAAAAUCACUGCAAAAAAAAAAAGCACUGAAAAUCAUUGUAUUGAAUCUGGAUACUAUGUAGAGAGAAAAAAUAUUUUGCUCGUGAUCUACCACUUGAUGAAUUUAUUUAUGGUCCAUCAUAUCAAGAACACAAGAUACGAUCAUAAUGUUAAUAGACCACUGGUGUUGAUUGAAAGAUAUGUUUGACUAUAAACAAGAGAAUGCGAGAAAAAACGCAAAAAGAAAGAAAGAUAACAGUUAUUUGCUCUAAAA